GGGGACGUCGUCUAGCCUGGUUUAAGACCCAUGCCUGUCACGCAUGUGACCGAGGGUUCAAAUCCCUUCGUCCCCG
rnacentral:tRNA from 1 species